rnacentral:rRNA from 1 species
UUGGUGACCAGCGGAGGGAUCAUUACCGAGUUUACAACUCCCAAACCCAAUGUGAACGUUACCAAACUGUUGCCUCGGCGGGAUCUCUGCCCCGGGUGCGUCGCAGCCCCGGACCAAGGCGCCCGCCGGAGGACCAACCAAAACUCUUAUUGUAUACCCCCUCGCGGGUUUUUUUUAUAAUCUGAGCCUUCUCGGCGCCUCUCGUAGGCGUUUCGAAAAUGAAUCAAAACUUUCAACAACGGAUCUCUUGGUUCUGGCAUCGAUGAAGAACGCAGCGAAAUGCGAUAAGUAAUGUGAAUUGCAGAAUUCAGUGAAUCAUCGAAUCUUUGAACGCACAUUGCGCCCGCCAGUAUUCUGGCGGGCAUGCCUGUCCGAGCGUCAUUUCAACCCUCGAACCCCUCCGGGGGGUCGGCGUUGGGGAUCGGCCCUGCCUUGGCGGUGGCCGUCUCCGAAAUACAGUGGCGGUCUCGCCGCAGCCUCUCCUGCGCAGUAGUUUGCACACUCGCAUCGGGAGCGCGGCGCGUCCACAGCCGUUAAACACCCAACUUCUGAAAUGUUGACCUCGGAUCAGGUAGGAAUACCCGCUGAACUUAAGCAUAUCAA